AACGAACGCUGGCGGCAUGCCUAACACAUGCAAGUCGAACGAGAUCUUCGGGUCUAGUGGCGCACGGGUGCGUAACGCGUGGGAAUCUGCCCUUCGGUUCGGAAUAACAGUUGGAAACGACGGCUAAUACCGGAUGAUGACGAAAGGCCAAAGAUUUAUCGCCAGAGGAUGAGCCCGCGUAGGAUUAGCUCGUUGGUGUGGUAAAGGCGCACCCAGGCGACGAUCCUUAGCUGGUCUGAGAGGAUGAACAGACACACUGGGACUGAGACACGGCCCAGACUCCUACGGGAGGCAGCAGUGGGGAAUAUUGGACAAUGGGCGAAAGCCUGAUCCAGCAAUGCCGCGUGAGUGAUGAAGGCCUUAGGGUUGUAAAGCUCUUUUACCCGGGAUGAUAAUGACAGUACCGGGAGAAUAAGCUCCGGCUAACUCCGUGCCAGCAGCCGCCUUAA
rnacentral:rRNA from 1 species